rnacentral:rRNA from 1 species
CCUACGGGUGGCAGCAGUGGGGAAUAUUGCACAAUGGGGGGAACCCUGAUGCAGCGAAGCCGCGUGGGUGAGGAAGGACUUCGGGAUGUAAAGCCUCAUCAGCAGGGGAGAAAAUGACGGUACGUGACUAAGAAGCCACGGCUAACUACGUUACAGCAGCCGCGGAAAAACGGUGGGGGCAAGCGUUAUCCGGAUUUACUGGGUGUAAAGGGAGCGUAGACGGCGUGCCAAGUCUGGUGUGAAAGGCCGGGGCUCAACCCCGGGACUGCAUUUGAAACUGGCAGGCUGGAGUGGAGGAGGGGCAAGCGGAAUUCGUAGUGUAGCGGUGAAAUGCGUAGAUAUUAGGAGGAACACCGGUGGCGAAGGCGGCUUGCUGGACGCUAACUGACGUUGAGGCUCGAAAGCGUGGGGAGCAAACAGGAUUAGAUACCCGUGUAGUC